rnacentral:rRNA from 1 species
GAUGAACGCUAGCGGCAGGCCUAAUACAUGCAAGUCGAACGAUAUUAUCCAGCUUGCUGGAUAUGAAAGUGGCGCACGGGUGCGUAACGCGUAUGCAACCUACCUUAUUCAGGGGGAUAGCCCGAAGAAAUUCGGAUUAACACCGCAUAAAAUCACAGUUCAGCAUUGGACAAUGAUCAAAUAUUUAUAGGAAUAAGAUGGGCAUGCGUGUCAUUAGCUAGUUGGCGGGGUAACGGCCCACCAAGGCGACGAUGACUAGGGGAUCUGAGAGGAGGGCCCCCCACACUGGUACUGGGACACGGACCAGACUCCUACGGGAGGCAGCAGUAAGGAAUAUUGGUCAAUGGAGGGAACUCUGAACCAGCCAUGCCGCGUGCAGGAAGACGGCCCUCUGGGUUGUAAACUGCUUUUAUUCGGGAAUAAACCUAUUUACGUGUAAAUAGCUGAAUGUACCGAAGGAAUAAGGAUCGGCUAACUCCGUGCCAGCAGCCGCCGUAA